rnacentral:lncRNA from 1 species
UAAAAGUUAGUGUAUAAUAUAGACAAGUUAGUAUAAGAGGUUAGUGGAUUAGUAUAAACCAAAAGAAAUGACAUGUAUCAGAUGAAAUAAACAAGCUAGCACAUGUAUAAGCAAAGCUUCAUCUACAUGUCAAAUGACCCAAGUUUAAUGAUGUAAGGGAAAACUAUCCAUACUUCAAAGUACCAUUAAUGAAAACUUGAUCAUCCAUUAGUAAGUUUGAAGCAUGGAAGGCUCAAGCAACCCUAAACAAAUCAAUAUUAUGACAAGUG